rnacentral:rRNA from 1 species
AGUGAACGCUGGCGGUAGGCCUAACACAUGCAAGUCGAACGGCAGCACAGUAAGAGCUUGCUCUUACGGGUGGCGAGUGGCGGACGGGUGCGGAAUACAUCGGAAUCUACUUUUUCGUGGGGGAUAACGUAGGGAAACUUACGCUAAUACCGCAUACGACCUACGGGUGAAAGCAGGGGAUCUUCGGACCUUGCGCGAUUGAAUGAGCCGAUGUCGGAUUAGCUAGUUGGCGGGGUAAAGGCCCACCAAGGCGACGAUCCGUAGCUGGUCUGAGAGGAUGAUCAGACACACUGGAACGGAGACACGGUCCAGACUCCUACGGGAGGCAGCAGUGGGGAAUAUUGGACAAUGGGCGCAAGCCUGAUCCAGCCAUACCGCGUGGGUGAAGAAGGCCUUCGGGUUGUAAAGCCCUUUUGUUGGGAAAGAAAAGCAGCAGGUUAAUACCCCGCUGUUCUGACGGUACCCAAAGAAUAAGCACCGGCUAACUUCGUG